UGGUGGAGUGAUUUGUCUGGUUAAUUCCGUUAACGAACGAGACCUCGACCUGCUAACUAGUGCACAGCAGCAUUCGUGCUGCUGUCGUGACGCACUUCUUAGAGGGACUAUCGGUGUGUAGCCGAUGGAAGUUCGAGGCAAUAACA
rnacentral:rRNA from 1 species